UACGUAGGUGGCAAGCGUUGUCCGGAUUUAUUGGGUUUAUAGGGUGCGUAGGCGGUUCCAUAAGUCUGUGGUGAAAUACGGCAGCUUUACUGUCGAGGUGCCAUUGAUACUGCGGGACUUGAGUACAGACGAGGUAGGCGGAAUUGACGGUGUAGCGGUGAAAUGCUUAGAUAACGUCAAGAACACCGAUAGCGAAGGCAGCUUACUAGACUGAAACUGACGCUGAGGCACGAAAGUGUGGGGAUCAAACAGG
rnacentral:rRNA from 1 species